UUUUCUGACAUCAUUUUUUUCUUUUUAAUUAUAUUACACUGUUCUAUAUUCGAAUUAUAAUUAUUAGAGCAAAUUAUCAUUUUAAUCUAUUAUGGACCAUAUUAAAUUAGGACCCAUAUGAACACCAUUAACACAGUCCCAAUAAUCCCACUAUAUAAAAGAAGCUAAUUUUGGAUGUUCUAAAGGAUGCCACAUGGGCAAAAUAUUCUCAACCAUUCAUUCUGCCACGUCACUGGUGGAUUGGGUUUCCAAUAAAAAAUAUAUCAGCAACCAACAAACCGUAAUUGCAGCCCAGACCAUAGAAGAGUUUUUAGUCUCUCCUAAACAUAUCCACGUAGGCAAUUAUUCAUCUCAAUGGGUCCCACAAAAUUAUUAAAGCCAAAUAAUCAAAUGAUUCGAUUCAAAACAAAUAUCUCCUAUCGAUAUUUCCAUCUAUUUCGAUCUUUUCGUCUUCUCCCAAUCUGAAAAAUGAAACCUAUGUUCUCUUAUUCAUUGGAUGCUUUAAAUUAGAUCACGUACUUAACCCUUUCUUUCUUGUCUUUUCAGUUAUUCUUCUCCAUUUCUUCUUUCUCCUCUUCUUCAAAUCCACAAACGUUGUUACAACAGAGCAUUGAUUCUCAGAUUACCCAGAUAGGAUUGAAUCAGCUUUAUGAUGUCGUCAACGUUUAUAAUCGAUCCAAGCAACGCACCGAUACAAUCAUGUUUGGCAGACGCUCAAGAUUUUGGGUCGAGUCCACACGCCGUCUCGGAUCCAUUUGGGGAUGCUUUCUAAUGCCAUGAGAUGUCGAAGAAACUAACGACAGAUUCUUCAGUUAGAGGAUUCAGGCAGGUGAAGCAGCGAUGGAUCAGGGAGGAUGAGAUGGUUGUGCCUCCAAGGAAGGAGCCUGAGGUAGAGAAGAAACAAAAACUGGAUCAUGAACCUCAGUCGAAGUUGGGAGAAGAAAAGGAGAGUAAGGAGAGGAAGCAGAAAGCUUUAAAGGAGAUAGAGAUGGGUAUGCGGCUACAAGGCCUUUAAAACAAUUAUCAAGAAUUACUCACAACCAUAGAAAUUGAUGAUGAAGAUAUCUCUUUAUCACAAACGUGCUGCUGCUCAUUGGAGAUGACAAAGGACACAAAGGUGGAUAUCAGAAGCUUGGUAAGGAAAACACACAAAUGAGAGUUCCAAGUGGAAAUGGAGCCGAUAGUGGCUCAGUGGAGAUCUCUGUUUGAUCAAGUUCGCUUAACUGGUCUCGACCAAAGAACAUUAAGAAGAAAACACUUGGGAGUCAAAAAUGAGUUGAGCAACUAUAGUGAUGGCUCUGCCCUAAUUAACGGUGCCAGAGUAGAUGGUGAGAUGCAUGCUGCCACUGGGUCUCUUCCUCCAAUUGAGUGUUUUUUAUGUGAUCUCUGUCAUCGGCAUUCUGAAAAGUGGUCAAAAGACUACUACAAAAGAGUGAUCUAUGUUGCUUGAGAUCAAGGGUAGAGUCAGAUUAGUUGCAUUUGAGAAAUUUGUUCGAGAGCUCCCGAAUUCCAGGAGUCGUGCUUUUAUGUGUUUUGUCUGCAAAGAAGAGUGCUUGGUAGUUAACCAUUUCUCAGAGGUAUGUCUUUGGUAGUUAACUAAAUUUUUUGUAUAGGAGCGUGCUAUCCUAAGUCUAUGAAUAAAGUUAACCAAGUAAAACAUAUUCUAUUA